CUGCCUAAUGAGUGCUCUGCUGAGCCUUGCUGCUGCCUGCUCUUUCUCAUUUUGGACCUUCUUUUGGAGAGAGCUCAUCUUCUGGUGUGUCCUCCUGUAGACUGGUCUUUCAAAACAGGCUUGAGAGAGGCAGCUGCAGUUCUAAAAUGGCUGUGUUGUAGUAGGCUGCAGCUAGUACUGCCUCACUGCUUUCCUCCAGCUGAUAUGCACACCAGAAAUGGGGAAAAGCAUUAAAACACACCUACACACAAAAACCUGUGGAUUGGAAGCAAACAGGAAAAUUGCUGCAUCUUCUUGGGAGAUACUGAAAUUAUGGGGACAUAUAGAUAAAUUACUAUAGGAUUGUCAGAGGAAGGUAAUAGUUGCUGUGUGCUUCGGUGGUUCGGAGGUUGGAAGGAUGCUUCAUGCAGCUGAUACGCUGGCUGCACUGUGCAUAGUGACAACUGAAAUACGGAUCCUGGGAUGCUGUGCUGGUAAUGUGGAUUAAUGUUAAACAUGCUCAAGGGCAGCGUGAGAAGAGAAGGCCUCUGCCCUGGUGCAAAUGUUUGCAGCUGAGCCCUUUCCUCAAAGUAUUUGCCCAAACAGCUCAUCAGACCUCUGUGCA